AAAUUAAAUUACCACAAUGUUUUUUGAAAACAACACCAAAUUAAUUUUCUUUUUUCAAUCGUUUUUUAUAAUAA
rnacentral:misc_RNA from 1 species